UCCAUCAAAGGCAUACUGUAGGCCUGGCAUGUCUUGUCUACUAGCUUCAAUAUGAAUCCGAUUAAAUGUGAUUGGGUGAAGGCCCCAGUGCAGCAGCAACAGCACAUGAUGGAGACGAUGAUGAGGAGGAGACCAUCUCUGGAUUCCAGAAGGCAUGAGGACCCAGAUGCUAUACAGUGGGAAAACCAGCCUGGCAACAUAAGCUCACAAGCUAUCAGAAAGUUGUAUGGCAACCACCUCCGGCGCCAAAUAGAACUGGCAGACAUAGACAUUCAGUACAAGAAGAAAAAGAUGGAAAAUCUUGCACUGGAGUCCGAAAUAAAAAAGAGGACAAUUAGGAAACUGGACCUUGAAAUAAAAAAACUUGAGAGGGAAGUGAGAUAUGCCUUCAAUGUACACUGUAUGCUAACUGUAACACAAAUGUAUUAAUCAUUAUUUUUCUUUCCUCCCCCAGCUCCAAGAAGAUGACACAGCUCAAAAUAAAAAAUGAGCAAUCAGUACAACCAAGUCAUCGUUAUAAGGCAUCGCCCUCUUUGCCCACCCCC